GUGAGGAAUUUUGGACAAUGGGGGCAACCCUGAUCCAGCGACGCCGCGUGAAGGAUGAAGGUCUUCGGAUUGUAAACUUCUUUUAUUUGGGACUAAGAAACCUGUAGAAAUAUGGAGCGUGAAUGUACCAAGUGAAUAAGCCACGGCUAACUUCGUGCCAGCAGCCGCGGUAAUACGAAGGUGGCAAGCGUUACUCGGAAUUACUAGGCGUAAAGGGCAGGUAGGUGGUUUGGUAAGUCUAUUGUGAAAGCUCCCGGCUUAACUGGGAGAGGUCAAUGGAUACUGCUGAACUUGAGUAUAGGAGAGGUUACUGGAAUUCCCGGUGUAGCGGUGAAAUGCGCAGAGAUCGGGAGGAACACCAAUGGCGAAAGCAGGUAACUGGACUAUUACUGACACUCAGCUGCGAAAGCUAGGGGAGCAAACAGGAUUAGAUACCCCAGUAGUCC
rnacentral:rRNA from 1 species